rnacentral:rRNA from 1 species
CUAAUACAUGCAAGUCGAACGAAACUUUCUUACACCGAAUGCUUGCAUUCACCGUAAGAAGUUGAGUGGCGGACGGGUGAGUAACACGUGGGUAACCUGCCUAAAAGAAGGGGAUAACACUUGGAAACAGGUGCUAAUACCGUAUAUCUCUAAGGAUCGCAUGAUUCUUAGAUGAAAGAUGGUUCUGCUAUCGCUUUUAGAUGGACCCGCGGCGUAUUAACUAGUUGGUGGGGUAACGGCCUACCAAGGUGAUGAUACGUAGCCGAACUGAGAGGUUGAUCGGCCACAUUGGGACUGAGACACGGCCCAAACUCCUACGGGAGGCAGCAGUAGGGAAUCUUCCACAAUGGACGCAAGUCUGAUGGAGCAACGCCGCGUGAGUGAAGAAGGUCUUCGGAUCGUAAAACUCUGUUGUUAGAGAAGAACACGAGUGAGAGUAACUGUUCAUUCGAUGACGGUAUCUAACCAGCAAGUCACGGCUAACUACGUGCCAGCAGCCGCGGUAAUACGUAGGUGGCAAGCGUUGUCCGGAUUUAUUGGGCGUAAAGGGAACGCAGGCGGUCUUUUAAGUCUGAUGUGAAAGCCUUCGGCUUAACCGGAGUAGUGCAUUGGAAACUGGAAGACUUGAGUGCAGAAGAGGAGAGUGGAACUCCAUGUGUAGCGGUGAAAUGCGU